rnacentral:lncRNA from 1 species
AGACCCAAGAAAUCAUAUUACCUGAGUAAACAAGAAGUACAAAGCAACCAACUUCUAAAACUGUAGAAAUGACAGAAACAGAUGACUGCCCGAACAGUCACCCAAGGUUCCUCUGCAACAUUGGGGCAUCCAUCUUCAGCCUACAGGGCUAGAAUAUCUGACAGACUUUUCUGUGAAGCAGGAAUUUUGAAGGACUGUCCUACUUUGACUUGGCAAAAUUCGGCAGUUGCUUUCUUUUGUGUCCUGCUUAUUCAGUUUGUACAACAUGCUGUCAGCAGUUGAGGAAACUUUACCUGUUUGUUCUCAAGAUUGUGGGGCUUAAGACCAGAAGUCCAUCACAUACAUGAGGUCCAGGAAGGCCUCAGACUACCUCACUGGAAGCACCAGGGGAAGUAGUUUAAGGGAAUGAAGAACAUCAGAGGACAGAACCCAGCAGGGCUCAGCAGAUCUUGGAAAACCAGCAGCUGUGGAGUAAGGAACAGGCCAAGUGACACGAGUAGGUUGAUGCUGACACUGUGUGAAUGUGAACAAUGGUAUUCGAGAAAGUUCCUGGAAAGCAAAUUACAGUGUGUUCAACACCCAAGUGUAAAGAACCAAAAAUCUGGUUUAGCUGGACAAAAUUUGUACUAAUUAAAAUGCCAUUUUGUUCUUUAAUUCCAACGUAGACAUUAAAAUUGGCCUUCAUAUCUUUACCAUACCAAAACCUAUGGCAG